rnacentral:rRNA from 1 species
AUUGAACGCUGGCGGCAUGCCUUACACAUGCAAGUCGAAUGGUAACAGGUCUUCGGAUGCUGACGAGUGGCGAACGGGUGAGUAAUACAUCGGAACGUGCCUAGUAGUGGGGGAUAACUACUCGAAAGAGUGGCUAAUACCGCAUGAGAUCUACGGAUGAAAGCAGGGGAUCGCAAGACCUUGUGCUACUAGAGCGGCCGAUGGCAGAUUAGGUAGUUGGUGGGAUAAAAGCUUACCAAGCCGACGAUCUGUAGCUGGUCUGAGAGGACGAUCGGCCACACUGGGACUGAGACACGGCCCAGACUCCUACGGGAGGCAGCAGUGGGGAAUUUUGGACAAUGGGCGCAAGCCUGAUCCAGCAAUGCCGCGUGCAGGAUGAAGGCCUUCGGGUUGUAAACUGCUUUUGUACGGAACGAAAAGCCCUGGGUUAAUACCCUGGGGUCAUGACGGUACCGUAAGAAUAAGCACCGGCUAACUACGUGCCAGCAGCAGCCGCCG